CUAUUAUUUGAAAGACCCUUUCACUGUGCAGGGGAAAUUGGGUAUCAGGGCUGGGUAUGUGUCUUAGUGGUAGAGCACUUGCUUCAUAUGCUGUAUGCUCCAAUUUUUGAAAUAAGUAGUCUUUCAGUGAACAUCCUUGCAUAUCUGAGCACGUCCUAGGUUGGAUCCCCAGCACCACAAAAAAAUAAGUAAGUCAACAAACUUUGUCUCCUGUCUAUCAGAUACUCUACCUAAUACUGAGGCUGACUUUGGGCAGAUCAUAUGUGAGGAUUCUAAGGCCCAGUUAAGCUCAUCUCGUACCUCAGUUUCCGCUAUAAAACAAGGGCUUCAGGCCAGGUGUGGUAGUGCACACCUGUAAGCUCAGCUAGUCAGGAGCCUGAGGCAGGAGUAUCACAAGUUUGAGGCUGGUCUGAGCAACUUCAUGAGACAGACAGACAGACACACACACACACACACACACACACACACACAGUGUAUAUAUAAAGUGUCCCAUAUUCAGAAAUCUACUCAUUUGCAUGUAGACACAACUGCUUUUUUAAUCUUUUUUAAACUACAGGUUUUUUUCUAUUCUAAAUAUAAUAUAUGGGUUGGUAGAAAAUAUGCAAAGGAAAUAAAAAGUAAAGUAAAAGAAGAAAGUGAGUCAUUCAUAAACCCAGAAAUAACUAGUAAACAUUUUGAUAUAUUUCCUGCCAGUAGUUAAAUUCUCAUAUUUAUUCUGUAUAAUUUUUUUAUUAGUUGCUCAAGACAGUACAAUGAUCUUGACAUAUCUUACAUUUGAUUCAAAUGGGGUAUGAAUUCUCAUUUUUCCACGUGUACAGAUUGCAGGAUCAUAUUGGUUAUACAGUCACGUAUAUACAUACAGCAAAACUAGUGUCUGUUGUAUUCUGCUCCCCUUCCUAUCCCCCCCUCCACUCCCCUCCCCUCCCAUCACCUGUCUCUACCCAAUCUACUGUGACACAUUUCUCUUUUUUUUCUUCCCCCUCACACCAUCAUAUAUGUAUUUUGUAUAAUGAUGAGGGUUUCCUUCCAUCUUCCAUGCAAUUCCCCUCUAUAUAAUUUUUAAAGGAAUUCAAGGUUAACUGUUUAUGCAAUUCUAUAUUUAACUUGACAUGUGAUUCAUGUUUUGGUAUUCUUUUAACCAUUCUUUGAAAACAUACACACAAAAAAUUAUUCCAUAGUAUCCAUUCACAGAUGCCUCAAACUUUAACCAUCCAUUUGUUAUCGUAUGCUCCAAUUUUUUCUAUAAGUAGUCUUUCAGUGAACAUCCUUGCAUAUCUGAACACAUUUCUGAUUUUCUUAGAUAGAAACAAAAAAGUCUCUUGACACAUACUACUAAAUUGUUUUCUGAAGUCCUAUUUGAAAAAUACUUCCAGAAGAGAUUUCUGGUUUCUGGCUCUGCAUGUAAGGAGCUUGGGAGUAGCCAUUUCUGUCUUAACAACAGAACCGAAAAAUCAACAACUUUUCUUGGAUAUAACAGACAGCUGAGUAUAUAGGGCAAACCAAAGCCUCCACAACUGGAAAGACAGUCAGGUGAAUACAGGGAGUCAUGGCUUAACAGAGCAGACUCAAGGUACAAAUCUCUACAGAAGUCAGCACCAAGUAGGAAAAGCAGAACUGUAUUGAUGAAUUGCCAAAGCCUCGAAGUGGACAAAUAUGAGAGGUAAGAACUCCAGAGGCACCCAGUCAUGAGGUGAGAAUAAGCAGAAAACUUUUGUGAGUUUUAUCUCUAGGAAACCCACCAAGUUCUCACAUUAAAUGUUGGAGUAAAGUCUCAUGUUUCUGGUGGAAAGCGGAAGAAGGAAUCAUUUUGAAAUGCACUAGAGCAUUCUGGUAUUUUCAUUUAUUAUUUUUCUGUUUUGU
rnacentral:lncRNA from 1 species